rnacentral:tRNA from 1 species
GGUGAGGUGGCUGAGUGGUCGAAAGCACCACACUCGAAAUGUGGCGUACCCGUAAAGGUACCGUGGGUUCGAAUCCCACCCUCACCG